UUACCUGAUUAAAGCAGCGAUUAUUUCGUCGCACCGAAAAUUGUCGAAAACAUCGAUGAUAUGAACACGCGGCCAAGAACAACACGUGUGAAACGCGUGGCAUCGAGCAUAUUAUUCUAAAUACAAGCCGUACGAUUACGCACCCCUGUCGCGCAGCCUGUGGUCUAAUCAGUUUGUGGUCGUGAGAAGACUGACAUCUCAGCAACUAACUUCGAUAUACUCAAACACCGAAAUGGCAGAUAUACAGAUGAAUGAAGCCGACCACAUCGCCGCCGAGCCCGUGGCCGCCGGCCCCGUCGCCGCCGGCCCCGUUGCCGCCGACUAUCAUAGAGGUUAGUUAAAUUUUAAUUUAAUUAAAUUGA